rnacentral:rRNA from 1 species
AACGAACGCUGGCGGCAGGCUUAACACAUGCAAGUCGAGCGCCCCGCAAGGGGAGCGGCAGGCGGGUGAGUAACGCGUGGGAACGUACCCUUAUCUUCGGGAUAGCCCCGGGAAACUGGAAUUAAUACCGAAUGUGCCCUUUGGGGGAAAGAUUUAUCGGAUAAGGAUCGGCCCGCGUUGGAUUAGCGAGUUGGUGGGGUAAAGGCCUACCAAGGCGACGAUCCAUAGCUGGUCUGAGAGGAUGAUCAGCCACAUUGGGACUGAGACACGGCCCAAACUCCUACGGGAGGCAGCAGUGGGGAAUAUUGGACAAUGGGCGCAAGCCUGAUCCAGCCAUGCCGCGUGAGUGAUGAAGGCCUUAGGGUUGUAAAGCUCUUUCACCGGAGAAGAUAAUGACGGUAGCCGGAGAAGAAGCCCCGGCUAACUUCGUG